CAAAUGCAAACCUCCAAAUAUUUCUUCAGCUUCUCCUAACCAGGUGUUGCCAUGGUAUCUGGUCUGGCAGGGAAAAAAAAGCAUAGUCUGUUCCUGACAGCUGUGUUGAGUGCCAUACUUGGUCAGAGUCCAAGAUACAGGCAAAUGAAGUAUGCAGGUAAGUAGGUGCGAACCGACUCCCAAGUAAAGCUGUAGAAUUUUUCUGCCACAAAAUUAAAGAAACCUGAAUUGUGCUAAUUUUCAAGUUCAUUGAACUGAUGAAAUAUUUUCAUUUCAUUGGAAAAAUAAAGAUGAAAUUAACCUACAGCAGAAAGAAAGAAGUGAUAUCUUUUAACUCCAUCACACAUUGUUUGCAGACAGCUUUCACAAAAUAAUCAGACACAACAUAUAAGCAUAUUUAGAUGAAGAGCAGAUGCAUAUAUAGAAGUUCCGGACUUCUGCUGUGUUAUUCCCAAGAAAAAUAGAUCCUUCCUGUUCCUCUGAAGGCCAGCUGGCCUAACACAAAGCCCUUUGCGCUCUGUCUCCUUGCUCUUCAGUCCCUAAUGAGUGACAGUGUGAUCCCUCUGCAAAACCCAGGCAAGUAUGAAUUUUGAACCAGCUGAGCCAGUGUUUGAGCUUAUCUGAGCCCUGGGACUGCUGUGUGAAUAGCCAGCCAGGCCUGUAGGUACCAUAGCUACCAGCAG
rnacentral:lncRNA from 1 species